rnacentral:rRNA from 1 species
GGAUUAGAUACCCUGGUAGUCCACGCCGUAAACGAUGUCUACUAGUUGUUGGGAGACUUGAUCUCUUAGUAACGAAGCUAACGCGAUAAGUAUACCACCUGGGGAGUACGGUCGCAAGAUUGAAACUCAAAGGAAUUGACGGGGGCCCGCACAAGCGGUGGAGCAUGUGGUUUAAUUCGAUGAUACGCGAGGAACCUUACCUGGGCUUAAAUGUAGAGUGACUGACUUGGAAACAGGUCUUUCUUCGGACACUUUACAAGGUGCUGCAUGGUUGUCGUCAGCUCGUGCUG